rnacentral:lncRNA from 1 species
UGCUUUGUGAUUUGUCGUGAAAAUCCUAGCUUCAGAGUUGGAUUUGGGCUCAACGUUCAUCACUCUUCAUCGAGUUUCCUCUUUCUGGACUGCAUGACACACACUGGUAAAAGAUGGCAACUCUUGAGUCAUUAACAAAUGACUACGCAGGUCUUCAUACUCCGCUCCCAAGCUUGCUAAGAGUUGAAACACCUUGUCUUCAUCAGCCCUCUUCAGUAGCACAACGGAAUUAGUCGUGUGUGGACGAUACAUAUCGAGUUCAUUCCACAUGGAUUUCAUACUUCCAAGGUGUUGAACAAAGGAGUGAUCACUUUGCUUUAAACUAGCCACACUCUUCUUUAGUUGAAAGAUGCGAACUGAGUUGUUUUGGCUGCCAUACAUAUCUUUGACAGACUCCCAUAGGAGAAGGGAAGACCAGGACAUGACCAGCUGAUCAGUAGCAUGCCAUGCAUCGUAAGUUGGAGAAGUGGAUUCUGGGGGCUCAGAGCUUCCAUUGAUAAACCCUAGCUUUGAUCUUCCUCCUAGAGCAAGUGAC